AAUACAUAAGUUACUAAGGGCUUAUGGUGGAUGCCUUGGCACUAGAAGGCGAUGAAGGACGUGCAAACCUGCGAAAUGCUACGGGGAGCUGGUUGGAAGCGAUAAUCCGUAGAUGUCCGAAUGGGGGAACCUGAUUAAUAGUGAUAUUAAUCAUUUAGAUCUGAAUACAUAGGGUCUAAAAGCAAUACGUUGUGAAGUGAAACAUCUCAGUAGCAACAGGAAAAGAAAUCGAAAGAGAUUCCGUGUGUAGUGGCGAGCGAAAGCGGAACAGGCCAAACCAAGAUUUAUCUUGGGGUUAUAGGACUGCAAUGUGGACUUUGAACUGAUAGGAGAAGUAGUUGAAAAGCUACGCGAUAAAGGGUUAUAGCCCCGUAUCUUAAAUUGGUUUAAUACCUAGCAGGAUCCUGAGUACAUCGAGAAACGUUAUCUUGAUG
rnacentral:rRNA from 1 species